rnacentral:rRNA from 1 species
AUUGAACGCUGGCGGCAGGCCUAACACAUGCAAGUCGAACGAGUGGCGGACGGGUGAGUAAUGUCUGGGAAACUGCCUGAUGGAGGGGGAUAACUACUGGAAACGGUAGCUAAUACCGCAUACCAUCGGAUGUGCCCAGAUGGGAUUAGCUAGUAGGUGGGGUAACGGCUCACCUAGGCCACGAUCCCUAGCUGGUCUGAGAGGAUGUCAAGAAACACGGGAACUGAGACACGGUCCAGACUCCUACGGGAGGCAGCAGUGGGGAAUAUUGCACAAUGGGCGCAAGCCUGAUGAAGCCAUGCCGGGUGUAUGAAGAAGGCCUUCGGGUUGUAAAGUACGUUCAGCGGGGAGGCGUUACCCGCAGAAGAAGCACCGGCGAACUCCGUGCCAGCAGCCGCGGUAAUAC